CUACGGGGGGCUGCAGUGGGGAAUAUUGCACAAUGGGCGAAAGCCUGAUGCAGCGACGCCGCGUGAGCGAAGAAGUAUUUCGGUAUGUAAAGCUCUAUCAGCAGGGAAGAAGAAUGACGGUACCUGACUAAGAAGCACCGGCUAAAUACGUGCCAGCAGCCGCGGUAAUACGUAUGGUGCAAGCGUUAUCCGGAUUUACUGGGUGUAAAGGGAGCGCAGGCGGUACGGUAAGUCUGAUGUGAAAGCCCGGGGCUCAACCCCGGUACUGCAUUGGAAACUGUCGGACUAGAGUGUCGGAGGGGUAAGUGGAAUUCCUAGUGUAGCGGUGACAUGCGUAGAUAUUAGGAGGAACACCAGUGGCGAAGGCGGCUUACUGGACGAUAACUGACGCUGAGGCUCGAAAGCGUGGGGAGCAAACAGGAUUAGAUACCCCCGUAGUC
rnacentral:rRNA from 1 species